AUACCGGCGGCCCGAGUGGUGAUCGUGAUUAUUGGGUCUAAAGGGUCCGUAGCCGGUUUGGUCAGUCCUCCGGGAAAUCUGAUAGCUCAACUAUUAGGCUUUCGGGGGAGACUGUCAAACUUGGGACCGGGAGAGGCUAGAGGUACUUCUGGGGUAGGGGUAAAAUCCUGUAAUCCUAGAAGGACCACCGGUGGCGAAGGCGUCUAGCUAGAACGGAUCCGACGGUGAGGGACGAAGCCCUGGGUCGCAAACGGGAUUAGAUACCCCGGUAGUCCAGGGUGUAAACGCUGCCGACUUGGUGCUGGAGGCCCUUCGGGGGCAUUCAGUGCCGGAGAGAAGUUGUUAAGUCGGCUACUUGGGGAGUACGUCCGCAAGGAUGAAACUUAAAGGAAUUGGCGGGG
rnacentral:rRNA from 1 species